UGGGGAAUAUUGGACAAUGGGGGGAACCCUGAUCCAGCCAUGCCGCGUGUGUGAAGAAGGCCUUAUGGUUGUAAAGCACUUUAAGCGAGGAGGAGGGUACUGGUAUUAAUACUACCAGGUACUGGACGUUACUCGCAGAAUAAGCACCGGCUAACUCUGUGCCAGCAGCCGCGGUAAUACAGAGGGUGCGAGCGUCAAUCGGAUUUACUGGGCGUAAAGCGUGCGUAGGCGGCUAAUUGAGUCGGAUGUGAAAUCCCCGAGCUUAACUUGGGAAUUGCAUUCGAUACUGGUUAGCUAGAGUGUGGGAGAGGAUGGUAGAAUUCCAGGUGUAGCGGUGAAAUGCGUAGAGAUCUGGAGGAAUACCGAUGGCGAAGGCAGCCAUCUGGCCUAACACUGACGCUGAGGUACGAAAGCAUGGGGAGCAAACAGG
rnacentral:rRNA from 1 species